CCCGUUCCCUAUUUUAAGCUCGGAAUUUGUCGACUUGUAUCGCGCAGUGCCGAGAUCCCGACGGAGUGCCGGGAAUUUCCGAAUUUCAAUUUUUACCGCGUGGCGAAGAAUGGAGAAGCAAGGAAGAAUUAAAAUGGAGGACAUUUUUUAUCAAACUUUAUACCUUUAUUGGAAGGUAAUAUGCUUUAUUUAAUAUCAAUCCUUGUAGUAGAGGACUUAGAUUGCCAAUAUACAUGUAAACUUAGGACAUCGAGCCCGAAUUUAAUGCGAUAUUUCGACAUAAAGUUUGUGCUUUUGCUUUGCACGUGGUUCGAUUUAUGAGCGAUUGUCGAACUUUAAACCGUGUUUUAAUUCAUAACUAUUGUCGACCAAGUGAGUAAAAAGACUAACUAAGAUCUAGAAUUGUUUAAGUUGUCGAAAAAAGUUGUCAUCUCUGAGUUCUUGCCGAAAAUGUUUAUAUUAUUAAAAUGCCGUAUACAAAGACGAGGCGCUUGGUGGGACGUAUUUCAUCAGCUUGUACAACUUUCAAUCUUGCGACAAAAUAUUUUAACAAUAUGGUGUUUUUGUUCAUUUAUAUGCAGAAAAAGCCUUGCCUUUAAUAGCAACAUUACAAAGUAUUUGAUUCUUGCUUGCAAAACAAAGUUAAAUACAAAUAAAAAUAAGAAAUGAAAAUUGCUACAAAUAAUAAGGCAAAAUCCCAGAAUUGUGUUUCUUCACUUUCUAGACAACACUGCAGGCUGGUGUAAUUAAUUUUGAUAGUGAAAAGCUAGGAGGUGCGGCUGGUAGGAGGUAGAUGAGUCUUCUCGGGAAGUGUGCUUCUAGGAUUAAUUUAAAGUUUGUAGGCUGAGGGUGGUUUGAAAAGAAGAUUGUUCUUUUGAAGCCAGGGUGAAUUUGAGGGUGUAUUUCCGAAAGAUCUUCGGCGCAAAACAGCGACUCAAACAAAAUUUGGCGCACGUUUUUGGCGCAGAUUGAUCGCAAAUAUUGAUCUGGCGCAGAAUGAUCCCAAAGAUCCAUUUGGCGCAGCAAAUUUGGCAAAGAUUUGGUGAAGCAAUUGAGCAUUUAUAUAUUAGUAAAUUUGAAAUUAUGAUUUGAGAGGAAUGAAAAGCCAAAUUUUGAAAAUUUGGUGAAAAUUUCGGAAAUUCUUGAAAACCGCAUAUUUUUUUCGUGACAAUUUUCUUGGCGCAGGUUUUGGCACAGCUUUACAUGAAUUCGAAAAAUCUUCGGCGUAGAACAAUUGAGAGAUUCACCCUGGUUUUGAAGCACAUCUACUCCAGGCUCAAACAUAUGCACCAGUAGCAGUUGUAAAUCCUUUUUCCGACAUGGGCUGGCAAGGAUUCAGAGACUGCUAAAAAAUAAAAAGGACAGUAUUUGUUAAAUUUUACUGUCGUUGCAAUGGAAGUGCUGAUAAAAUAUCGCAUCCAUUCAUUACUUAGAACUGAUCAAUUCAUUCGUUGAAAAAUUGAUCAACUUCCUGUGUGUUUGAAUCAAUCAAUCAAUGGCUUACGUUUCAGUGACUGAUUGACCAAUUGGGAACAAGCAUGCCAGUAAGACCAAAAAAAAUAUGUGGGUUUCCGGUUUCUUCUUAUAAAAACUCAAAUUUCAGUUUUCCACAAAAUUUUUCUCUAAGUGGAAAUACUUACAAGCAGGGUCUUAGCUAGGAUUUUAGAUCUUGGGCGUGUUUCUAAUGACCAGGGCGUGCACAUGUCGAUUACCUUGAAUAGCAAAAUCACGGUUUUAGUUAUGCUCGCCAACAACAAUGCCUGUGGUUGUUCUAUGCUUCGCAACCAAAUACAAGGCGAGCAUACGCUCAUAUUCGCACUGACAUUAAAAUAUUAAGUUAUUUCAGCGAAUCCAGGGGGAAUUUAAAACCAUAUUAACACCAUACAGUUCCCAUUAUCCAUCAAAACAUUAAAACAUCACGGAUCACUUUGCCAAUUCAACAACAGUAGAUUUUACAAACUUUCUUACGGCGUAAAUUGGAAGAAGUUCUGUCUGUUGUAAGUACUGUAGCACCAUCUUAUUUUAUGAACCUACUGUACACGGCCUUAUAUAAAUAGUGAAACCGCGUUCAUUUUAUCUAGCCGUGUUUCCCCUCUUUUGGCCGCGAUAACACGGCCAACACGGCCUUCUAGCUAAGACCCUGCUUACAAGCAUGAUCCAAUAAAAAAGUUUAGGUUCGGGAUUUCGACGUCCAAAAGCUAGGUAGGGUCGGGGAAACCGGAAACCCACAUAUUUUUUUGGCCUAAACAGGAAGUUGAUCAAUUUUCUAUCAAAUGAAUUGAUCAACUUGAGGAAAGGAAUUGGUGCAAUAUUUUAUCAACACUUCUAUUGCACCAACAGUAAAAGCAUAUUAACUUGAUAUUUCAGACACCUGAAAUCGAAAUGAAGUUGAAAAAAAACUCCAAUCAAAUUUUAACAUAAUUUUCCAAUUGAUCGGCAUUUUUCUGAUCAGUGUUGAACAUUGCAAAAAAUAUAUGGUUUAGGUUUCAGAUCCUGAAAAAAAAUAGGAUAGGUGGCUUGAAUAAAACACAUUUUCUUCAAAUAUUUUUUUGGCUUUUGAGGGUCAGCAAUGGCUGUGAUCAGUUGGCAUAUUGCCACAACAUAUAAACAUCUCAAGAAGCAGUAACUGUGGGCAACAGACAGUAUUUUUGUAACAUCACAGGUUAUUUAAGUUACAUCAUAAAGCAAACAACAAAAAAUAGGGUACCGUAGGCACUAGGCAAGUAAGCAAACGACCCACAUCUAGAAAAAACAGAGCAGAGAGAAUAGGGUUGGCUGGAAAACCAGAACCAUAGGAUAUUGUUUUGUUUCAGACUCCGAUGUUCAUAUUGAGUUUUUCAUCUUGCUAGCCAAGCUAUUCACACCCUCAGUAAAAUUCUCAUAAAUUUUUGUAGAUAUACAGCAAGUUCCAAGAAUGUCGCAAGACCUCAUGAUUGUGAAAAAUGGACACAUUCCAAGAUCCUGAAUUAGAGGUAAAUGAUUUUUCUUCUAAUUAUUUCUAACCUCCUUUAUUUCUUGGACAAUUUUCUUCAUAAUAUAUUAAUUUGUUUCAUGUUCUCAAUAGUGAGUUUUUUAAAUUCUCUAGAUGUGUGUUGCAAUUUCAAAGAAUGUCUCAAGUUGUUGACUGAAGUGUUUUUGAUCACAAAAAUGAACACUGUCAUUGGAAAGUAUAUAAAAGGUCUUAAUAUUUUCCUGUCUUAUCUUACAUGAAAUGUUCUGAACAUUAUAUGAUUGCCUGUGAUCAAUAGUUUUGAAACUCCCAGCAGAUUAUUGUAAAAAUAGCUUGACUAUGUCACUUAUGACACAAAAUAUCACAAAAGUAAUAAAUGCAAUAUUUACA